GACGAACGCUGGCGGCGUGCCUAAUACAUGCAAGUCGAACGCAGUGGGGACGGGUGAGUAACCCGUGGGUAACCUCCCAUCAGAGGUGAUACCACUUGGAAACAGGUGCUAAACCCAUACUGAUGGAUGUACCCGCGGUGCAUUAGCUAGUUGGUGAGGUAACGGGUCACCAAGGCCACGAUGCAUAGCGGACCUGAGAGGGUGAUCAGCCAAACUGGGACUGAGACACGGCCCAGACUCCUACGGGAGGCAGCAGUAGGGAAUCUUCGGCAAUGGACGAAAGUCUGACCGAGCAACGCCGCGUGAGUGAAGAAGGUUUUCGGAUCGUAAAACUCUGUUGUUAGAGAAGCGGUAUCUAACCAGAAAGCCACGGCUAACUACGUGCCAGCAGCCGCGGUAAUAC
rnacentral:rRNA from 1 species